rnacentral:misc_RNA from 1 species
ACCCUUUGCAUUUGUUCACCACUUCCAAUUUAUCAGAAUUGCAGGGAUGUAAACACUGUAACCCUGUGAUUCUUCAUUCUUGAUGAGCCAUUGUAUAAAUGAAGAAAGUGAAAAACCAGUCAAAAUCAUUCAGAAUUCAUAUCCAUUAUCAUGUCAUUUGUCAAGAACAUAAGGCACACAGAAAUUUCCAACAAAAUUUUUCCUUAAGCAAAUAAAUUUUCAAUUAUUAAAAAAGAAAAAAAUAUAAAAAUGGGUACCCUGCAUCGUUGAUUGGUUGAUUGAAAAGAAUAUGACAAAAAGAUACUUAAUGUAAUGUACUACCCAUUUCAGAAGAAAUAGAGUGGAAAAAUUGUUAAGCAGCUAAUACUUUAUAUCUCAUCAUCCAAUGUCCUGCUCACAUAGAAUUAGAUGCUGAAAAUUUUUAAAAUUUUCUCAUAUAAGUAGAGAUAAAAAUUAAUAAUUUGCAAAAUUUAAGAGAAGAAUCACCACCUUAUUCAUAAUAAAAACAGUAUAACACUCCUAGAUAGAGUUCAUAUCCUGCCCUCAGCAGAGAUUCUAUACCCUCAAAUCCUAAAAUUCAAAUAAUAAUGAAACGGUAUGAAGAUCAGUCUAUUGUUCAACUGAUUCAUGUAUAAGAAAAUGUUGAAAAGGACAAAAAACAGAGCACCAAGAAAUAUGGCAUAACACUAAAUAUUUCUACUUCUAACAUAUUUGAACUAGCAGAGAGGUUGCAGUUGCAGCUCCGGGGUUCCUCAUAUCCUGUUUUGUUGUAUAACCAACGUCCUUCUACAUGAAAGAAAAUGGAGAGAAUAAAUAUUAAUAAGAAAAAAAGAGAUGAUCAAAUCAAGAAACUACCUUCCAAGUGUCCUUAGCACUAGUGCCAGAUACCAAUAAUUGUCAACAAGUGAGAUGGGCAUUUACAACUUACUGUAUUACUUGUUUUGAAGACGGAAUUGAAAUAGCUCCAUACACUAUGUUUUUACUGCUGUCCACUGCACACAGAAUCAAUGACUUAAAAGUUCUUCUCUAGAACUUAUACUUGUUUUUGAAGAAGCAAAAAUAUCUUGGCCUGGAUCAUCUGGCAGCAAAAGCCAAAGUUGUAAUCGGAUGUGCGGAAAUUCUUCCGUGGAGUAUGAUCUUCAAAUGCAUAUUAUGUCAAGCCAAUAAAAAAAAUUGCUUCCAGGACAUCUUAUGUUGGUUUCUUGUCCAUUAUCAUGCCACUUAUCAAGAACACAAGAACACAAAAAUUUCAGAGUAAAUUUUAGUUUUGCUGAUUUCCGACAGAAUAUGGUGGCUAAAUUAUUAGGCAUUUAAUCUUCAUAACUUGUAAUAUAAUUUCUCUCAGAAGCAGCGGAAGAUUUUUCCUCGCCCUAUAGUGGAUAGGGGCUCUCUCAUUGAAUUAUUUUCCUAUCAACUUUAAUAAUUGAGAUGUGAGAAAUGAAAGGCCAAUCCUCACACUUUUUAUUCCACGUCUUUCCUUCAACAGGGGACAAUCAUUAAUUUCAAAUUCUCGUAGAGAGGUGAGAGAACACAUCUGUCAAGGCAGAGACUCUAUUCCCAAAAUGGUUAA